AAAUAUACAAUAGCAGCUGCUUAGCUUAAAAAUGUUAAUCGGAAGAAGCAAAAGUGGAUAGCGUGGUGCCAGUAAGAUGGUAUCGAUAUGAUCUAGUCUUAAUUAAGUUAGUCGCAGUUAAGUGUUUAAAAAAAGUUUUACCAUAUAUUUUUAGACUAAUUUUUUAAUGUAUUGUGCUUGAAAAACGUUUAUUACAUAUUAAAUUAAAAUAUUUAUUUUCAGACGAAAAAUAAAACAUGUAAACAAUUUCUCUCUAUAUUUACUUGUUCAAGUGCCAGUGAAACGAACGAUAGAAAAAAAGAAGCAUUCAAAAUGUUCGCAAAAUUUUUGGUUUGGAUACAAAAAACCAAGUGAAAAUGAUACUAGAAAGACUGUUUACCGUUUAACUCCUGUCCCAAUCUAACCUAGUGGCUUCAAAAAGAAGGGACAGCGCUGGAAACAGGAGUGAUUAAAAGGAUCAGCCCUUUUUGAAUUAAUAGUCAAAGCGGUAACCAGCUAGAAGUCGUAACCUGCUCGUAUGAAAGGAUUUCUCGACGUGAAAUUGUUAAUUUUAUUCAACAACGCCAAGAAACAGAGCUCGCUCAAGAA
rnacentral:lncRNA from 1 species